rnacentral:lncRNA from 1 species
AGAAUAGUAUAAAGGUUUAUUUUUUUCUUUGUGAUUUAUCGGACUGUUUUAUUUGUACAAUAUAGAAAAGUGUAUUCUUUGAAUAGGUCUAGUAAAUAUAAAUUUAAUUUGUCUACUUUCAGAUGUAAACAGAACUAGAAAAUGAACCCUUUGCCCCAUUCCCAAUUAUUUUUAUGUAACUGGAUGAACUUGACUGUAAAUCUUGUCCAGCAGUUUGAUGCAAAUGGCUAAGGAAGUACAAAACCCAAUUCACACAUUCUACAUCAGGGAGAAGGGAGAGAGGAAUCCAAGCUUAGUAUUUGAGAAAGCUUGUUCAAAACAAAAUAGAAGAACUAAGAGCAUUUGAUUGCACCUUUAAAGUCUUUACAAGCAAAAUAUUCUCAAGCAAUGCCAUCAUACAUAAUUACAACUGUCAUCUAAAUUUCACAAGUGUUUUUGCACACUGUAUAUAAAUACACAUCACGAAAGGUGCAAUUUAGAGUAAGACAUGGUAUAUAUACAAAAUUAACAUGGACUGAAGUCUAAACAAAAGAAGGCAUAUUGCAAUCUGUUUGGAAAAUAACGUAAGUAGGUAUUACUUUAUUCACUUACACUAAUUUACAUUUAUACAAAUCUUACUGGACAUACUGUAGUAGGUCACUAGAAGUAAACUGAAUAUCCGCGCUAUCUACAUGUAAAGUUACUGCACUGAUUUUUUAGUAAAUCCAAGUCCUAAUCGUGGCAUUUACUUACACAAGAGGUGGAGUCCCUUUUCGGAGAUUUGCUGUUCAUUCUCAGGGAAAUAUUAAUAGCAGACAAGGCCCUUCAGACGGUGACUGGCAGGUCAAACCUUGUCUGCAAGGGCGACCCCAUGGCCCGUCACUGCUGCUGGCCACCUUCAAGCCCCUGAGGCAUUUUGACGAGGCACCAGAGAAGAGUCAAGGGCUUUUCUGCUCAGUGCGCAGGACUGGGGUGAAGACAGGAGUGGAAGCGUCCUCCCACCCUAUUGCCAUCAUACAUGUAGGCACUUAGCUCUGCUGCUGGUUUGCCUAACUCCUACCUUUCUCCAGCCUGGCCCUGCUAGAAAACCUGGAGAAAGAGCUCUGCUGCUUUUCUCUGUAUUUACAUUUUUACACGAGGAAUACUAAAUCUUUUUUGGAAACACCUAACUAGUUCAGGCUGCAGUGAGACAGGUAAUAAAAAUGCCUGUGGUUAAAAUAUAGUUAUAGACAUUCGUAGUAGGUAAAUAACCUACUAAGUUAAUUCUGCAAAUGUAUUCUGCUACCAGAAACAUGAUCCGAGAUUGCCUGUAACAAAUACUGAAAAAUAUCCCCUGCCCUAAGUCUAUACACAGCUAUAGUUGAUUGCCCCUGCCCCCCCUUCCCCCAGCUUUGUGUAAAAGGAUCUAUUUGUUUUGAAAGCAAUCCUGAUUUUGUGCUACCAUCCUCUCUGAUCAUGGCUCUCGGUCAUUCUAACAACACUUAAAAAACCCUUAUGUCAACUAAGCUGACAACAUAUAGAGAAGCAGCAUCCUGAAGACCCGCAACCAGGCUGAACAUGAUCCCUACCUCUGCAAGUCAAUUUGGAUGCAGAUUGUCUUGAGUCCUUGUUAAGACAACUGUGGUUCCAACACCUCCCAUGACCUCGGCUUCUUAGGCUUGAACACUUUCCAGGGUCACAGCUUGAUCCUAGAAAACACAACAGACCACGCAGCCCUACCUGCAGUGAGGGAUUAGGCUGCUGCAGACCUCUGAAAAACCGGGUAAACACCUAAGCAACAGCAUCCGUCGGCUGCACGCUCAGGUAACACUGUACACUGAGCAGACAUGUGGCAUUGUGGCGUGGCUGCCCUUCCUCACUUCUGAGAACAGGCCACUCUCUUAGCCUUCAAGUUCCAGCUUAACAAACACGAGCUCUCAGCCACAUUCCUAUCAAAAAACUCCCAUUAAUUCCAUUAGCCUGUAAACUCCUUGGGCCCCACUCCAGCAAGAUCCUCCACCACUUGCCCAAUGCUAAAUCUGCAACCCACCCCUCUGUAUUAUUGCCUGUGUGUUUCGCAGUGCUCCAUGCA